rnacentral:rRNA from 1 species
UACGGAGGGGGCUAGCGUUGUUCGGAAUUACUGGGCGUAAAGCGUGCGCAGGCGGUUGUGCAAGACAGAGGUGAAAUCCCCGGGCUUAACCUGGGAAUGGCCUUUGUGACUGCACGGCUAGAGUGUGUCAGAGGGGGGUAGAAUUCCACGUGUAGCAGUGAAAUGCGUAGAGAUGUGGAGGAAUACCGAUGGCGAAGGCAGCCCCCCUGGGAUAACACUGACGCUCAUGCACGAAAGCGUGGGGAGCAAACAGG